UACGUAGGGGGCCAGCGUUGCUCGGAAUUACUGGGCGUAAAGGGUUCGUAGGUGGUGCGGCAAGUCGGGAGUGAAAUCUCUGGGCUUAACUCAGAGGCUGCUUUCGAAACUGCCGUGCUCGAGUGCGAGAGAGGCCAGUGGAAUUGCAGGUGUAGCGGUGAAAUGCGUAGAUAUCUGCAGGAACACCCGUGGCGAAGGCGGCUGGCUGGAUCGCAACUGACACUGAGGAACGAAAGCUAGGGGAG
rnacentral:rRNA from 1 species